rnacentral:rRNA from 1 species
UACGUAGGGGGCGAGCGUUGUCCGAAGUUACUGGGCGUAAAGCGCGCGUAGGCGGACCUUUAAGUUGGGGGUGAAAUUCCGAGGCUCAACCACGGAACUGCCUUCAAAACUGGGGGUCUUGAGGUAUGGAGAGGGAAGUGGAAUUCCUGGUGUAGCGGUGAAAUGCGUAGAUAUCAGGAGGAACACCCGUGGCGAAGGCGGCUUCCUGGCCAUAACCUGACGCUGAGGUGCGAAAGCCAGGGGAGCGAACGGGAUUAGAUACCCCGGUAGUCCUGGCCGUAAACGAUGGAUACUAGGUGUUGGUGGUAUCGACCCCACCAGUGCCGCAGCUAACGCAAUAAGUAUCCCGCCUGGGGAGUACGGCCGCAAGGUUGAA